UGCCCAGGGAUGGGAAUCGAACCCACAGUGUUCCGCUUACGGGGCAGAUGUCAUGUCCACUAGGUUACCCUGGAC
rnacentral:tRNA from 1 species